GACGAAGGAUGCAAGCGUUAUCCGGAUUCAUUGGGUUUAAAGCGCGCGUAGGCGGUUCUCUAAGUCUGAGGUGAAAGGUUCGGCGCUCAACGUGAACAGUGCCUUGGAGACUGGGGGACUUGAGUGUGGGAGGGGGCAGUGGAAUUCCGGGUGUAGCGGUGAAAUGCGUAGAUAUCCGGAGGAACACCGAUGGCGAAGGCAGCUGCCUGGCCUGACACUGACGCUGAGGUGCGAAAGCGUGGGGAGCGAACGGG
rnacentral:rRNA from 1 species